GACGAACGCUGGCGGCGUGCUUAACACAUGCAAGUCGAACGGAAAGGCCCUGCUUUUGUGGGGUGCUCGAGUGGCGAACGGGUGAGUAACACGUGAGUAACCUGCCCUUGACUUUGGGAUAACUUCAGGAAACUGGGGCUAAUACCGGAUAGGAGCUCCUGCUGCAUGGUGGGGGUUGGAAAGUUUCGGCGGUUGGGGAUGGACUCGCGGCUUAUCAGCUUGUUGGUGGGGUAGUGGCUUACCAAGGCUUUGACGGGUAGCCGGCCUGAGAGGGUGACCGGCCACAUUGGGACUGAGAGACGGCCCAGACUCCUACGGGAGGCAGCAGUGGGGAAUAUUGCACAAUGGGCGGAAGCCUGAUGCAGCAACGCCGCGUGCGGGAUGACGGCCCUCGGGUUGUAAACCGCUUUCGCCUGUGACGAAGCGUGAGUGACGGUAAUGGGUAAAGAAGCACCGGCUAACUACG
rnacentral:rRNA from 1 species